rnacentral:rRNA from 1 species
GACAGAGGGUGCAAACGUUGUUCGGAAUUACUGGGCGUAAAGCGCGUGUAGGUGGCGAGGCAAGUCGGGUGUGAAAGCCCUGGGCUCAACCCAGGAAGUGCACUCGAUACUGCCUAGCUAGAGUCCCGGAGAGGAUGGUGGAACUCUCGGUGUAGAGGUGAAAUUCGUAGAUAUCGAGAAGAACACCGGUGGCGAAGGCGGCCAACUGGACGGUGACUGACACUGAGACGCGAAAGCGUGGGGAGCAAACAGG